UGUUUGGCAGUGAGUAUGAUAUGCAUUCAUUUGCGACUCCCACACAGCAGACCCCAGAGGCCUGUGGUUUCACAGUAAACAAAGCACCACUCCGCUGCCUCUGCAUCCAUCGACCUGUACAUGUUUUAUUGCUGCUGCAGCCGUCUGUUCCUGCUGUCCAGAAGCUGAUGGAGACAUUGAUCAAUAGUUAACGGUGGUUUUAGACCUCUGUCUUCUGAAUGUCGCCCUCUCACUCUUUCAGCCUUUUGUGUGUGUCUAGCUUUAACUGUUGUAUCGAACCGGAAAACCACAUGCAUUGUCUCCAUGUAAAUAUGCUGCCGUUUGUGUAUAGUGUCGACGGUGUUAUGGAAGUAUGUCUCGUCUCUUUGCUAAAGCGUCUGCGGCUUUCUCGGUGAACAAGAAACAGAUCCCGCUUUCAUCUGUCGAGCGUUUAUUUACUAGUUUAGUCCCCUGAGAUCUGGUCUAUUUUCAAAGAAGCCUACUGUGAGUGUGUGCGGUUUAAAACUAGGACAACUUCUGCAGCCUGAUCUGUUUUCAUGUCGUAAGAAUGACUCUCUCUCUGUGACAGACCAUUCUGCCAAAGGUCACUCAAGGGAUGAUGGGAAAGCUCUAACACAACCACCCUCAGAAGCCAACGUGAGCACGUCGAUCCAGGUGAACUCCCCAGCAAGAGGGUCAGCUGCUGCCUGGGCCAUACUGCCAGUCUUGCUGCUGGCGAUGGCAGCGGCCGGUGGAUACCUGAUGUGGAGGAACUGGCAGCUGAGGAACCAGAAGAGCAUGAACUUUGACAACCCCGUCUAUCUCAAGACCACAGAAGAAGACCUCAACAUCGACAUCACCCGGCACGGCGCCAACGUGGGUCACACCUACCCUGCGAUUUCCAUCGUGAGCACAGAGGACGAUUUAUCAUGAUCUUCCUGCUUUUCUUUCUUUCCUGCGGCCCGUAGUGUUGCACGACGAAACCUCGUUACCAUGCCUACGGUUCCGUCGCAGCAGCCCUUACUGUACGACCACAUGCCUUCUGAAGUGCGUUAUCUUUGGAGAGGAUGACUUGAGGAAUUGUUAUUUAUUAUGUGAAUACUGCAAUGAAUUACGUGUCCAUAACUGUUUUUCACUCGUCCAUGUGAUAAGGAUUAUUUCCCCCUUUUUCGGGUCACUGCUUCCUGGUUUUUGCCCCCGAGAGAAAUGACUGGACUUCCUGUGUUCCAACUGACAGGAGGACGCAGGACUUCUCUGCUAACAGAUCUACUGCUGGACAGGAUUUCAAACUGGAUCUGAGCUCUCAGUAUUAAAUGGCGUAUUCAAGACACUUUCGAUCAUAUUCUAAGUUGAGCAGGGUGAAAAAGAAUCAUGGGUGAUAUUGAUCUAAACUUCAUUGAUUCCCUCCUCUUAUCCAUCAGAUGUGUUCAUAUUUAUUUUCCAAGAUCAUUUGCAUUUUUUUUUUUCUUUCCAACUCUUCCUCCUGGAGUGCAUUCAGACGAGCUGUUCAGACGAGCUGUUCUUUCUACCAAUGUUUAUUAUGAGUAUUAUUAUAUAGGCUUUGUAAGAUCACCACAAUUACAGCAUUUGUAAACAUUGUAUAUAUAUUUACCCAUUAUCCCUCAAAGACAUUACCGUCAAUCAGGACUCUCUUCGAUGCACUUUGAUCAAAUGUUCCUCGUGUAAAUAAGAUUGUAUACAUUUGACUUGAAAUUAAUUUUUUGCUAUGGUUGGGCAUUGUACAAGGGUUAGAGUUCAAAUGUAUUUAACAAAGAAAAAGCAGAAAAAAAUAACUACUGAAUUUGGUAAAACUAUUUUGUAUGUUUGUGUGCUGUUGCUGUGAACUUUUUCUAGCCUUGUACAGUGAGGGGGGGGGGAUAUUAUUAGAGGGUAAACGCUCUGUAACUGUGAAGAAACUGAGAAUCACUUGAGAAUUAAAACCUAAUCCACAACGUUGUUCAAAACAUGG